AGAGUUUGAUCAUGGCUCAGAACGAACGUUAGCGGCGCGCUUAACACAUGCAAGUCGUGCGAGAAAGGGGUAACCCCGGUAAAGCGGCGCACGGGUGAGUAACACGUAGGUAAUCUGCCCCCAGGUGGUGGAUAACCUUCCGAAAGGAGGGCUAAUACAGCAUGAGACCACGGUCCCGCAAGGGAUUGAGGUCAAAGCCGGCCUCUUCAUGAAAGCUGGCGCCAGGGGAUGAGCCUGCGGCCCAUCAGCUUGUUGGUAGGGUAACGGCCUACCAAGGCGAAGACGGGUAGCUGGUCUGAGAGGAUGAUCAGCCACACUGGAACUGAGACACGGUCCAGACUCCUACGGGAGGCAGCAGUGGGGAAUCUUGCGCAAUGGGCGAAAGCCUGACGCAGCGACGCCGCGUGAGUGAUGAAGGCCUUCGGGUUGUAAAGCUCUGUGGAGAGGGACGAAUAAGUCGUGGCUAACAUCCACGAUGAUGACGGUACUUCUUUAGCAAGCACCGGCUAACUCUGUGCCAGCAGCCGCGGUAAGACAGAGGGUGCAAACGUUGUUCGGAAUUACUGGGCGUAAAGCGCGUGUAGGCUGCUUCAUAAGUCGGGUGUGAAAGCCCUGGGCUCAACCUAGGAAGUGCACUCGAAACUGCGAAGCUUGAGUCCUGGAGAGGAAGGCGGAAUUCUCGGUGUAGAGGUGAAAUUCGUAGAUAUCGAGAGGAACACCGGUGGCGAAGGCGGCCUUCUGGACAGUGACUGACGCUGAGACGCGAAAGCGUGGGGAGCAAACAAGAUUAGAUACCCUAGUAGUCC
rnacentral:rRNA from 1 species